CAGGCUGAUAAAGAAACUUUUAUGCAGUAUAUUUGUCAGUUAGUCAAUCUAAGUGAAACAACAGCAAUGUUUCAAAUACAUAUGCAAAACAAACUAAGCAAACAAAUAAUAAAUUACUAGCAGUAAGUACUUUAGGAGAGUCAAGGGUUUUUCCCAGCUGCAGGCAAAUGUCUAGGUUAAAAUAUGGAGGCUAGAGCUGACCUGCGUAGUCUAGAAGGCACAGAGGGCGUACUAAGCAGUGUUUGAGAAAUAAAGCUAUGAGUAAAAACAAGUCACCUAUGUCCUCAAGUCCAAGGACUAAAUAUGGCGGAACCCCAUAAACCAUAUGGAAAAUGAAGAGUCAGGAUGGGAGUAGGAUUGUCCCCUCAUGAAAGAUAAGAUGCUCACCACUUCCUCUUCCUGGGCUCAAAGCACAUGGCCUAUGGGAGAGAUGCCCAAAUUCAAAAUUAUAAGGCAUGCAAAUUUCUAAUACUUAUAUAGCCCAGUCCUCAGAAACUCAUAAGCUUCCACAGUCUUCCAUGAUAUCUAAAUGAAGUAUAUGUAUAAACUGAAGAAUUAGUUGCUUUUUAAUGCUGGCAUCCAAUUGCUAUACAAGGAGGAAAGGACAGAAAUCCACCCCCGGAAUCUCUAGGGAAGAAACACCUAUUAAUAUUGUCAUUUUCUUUGAAUAAAAUCUGCUCAAAUGGGCUAUAGGAAGAUAUUCCUAAUUUGCUUCCCUGGUUGGUGGCCGCCUGAAGAAGGAAAGUGGAACUGCUGCUCCCAGGAAAUUAAGAGAGGCGGUGUCAGGGAGCUCAGUAGGAAGCUGAUUUGAGACUGAAGUAAUUGCCAAGGUGAUUAAUUAUUCCUUUGAGUUGUACACAAGUGUUCCUUUCUCGCCUGCUCACUGGCAGGCUGACUUCAGAAGAGAAGCUUGCCCACACUGGUGGGUCCAGCUGCCCAGGCUCAGUCGGUCACACAGCCUCGUUUUCGCCUGCAGAGCAGUGGCCCGGAGAUGUGGGACUUUCUCUUCCCUCCGGAGAUCUGCUUGCCAUGUCAUCUUGUCACAGCUCCGACCAUCUUUUUCUAAAAGAAACAUUUUCUAAGAGAGUAAUUCCUCCAUACUUCCAAGAUCUUUGUGAGAAUAUUUGCAUUCAGGAUGGGUCUUUUGCUAUUAGGAAAGAGAGGCGGGGAGGGCAUGAGCCUCAACCAUAGUACUUGCUUUGAAUUAAGGGUUUUAUCAGUGUACCUGGAUGGGAUUCUCACCAAUGCCCUGUCAAAUUGGUUUAAUUUUCCGCAUUCUACAGAUAAAAGGAGCAGAGGUUAGCAAAGUAAGAAUAGGCAGUCACACUUUGGGAGGCUGAAGCAGCUGGAUCACCUGAGAUCAGGAGUUCGAGACCAGCCUGACCAGCAUGGGGAAACUCCAUCUCUACUAAAAAUACAAAAAUUAGCUGGGCAUGGUGGUGGGCACCUGUAAUCCCAGCUACUGGGGAGGCUGAAGUAGGAAAAUUGGUUGAACUGGGGAGACAGGUUGCAGUGAGCCCAGAUCAUGCCAUUGCACUCCAGCCUGGGUGACAGAGCAAGACUGUGUCGAAAAAAAAAGAAUCUAAGCUCAUACAACUAGGAGGAAGUGAGGCCAGAACUUAAGUCUUCCUGACCCCAGAACACGUCACCACUGCCUUCUAUGAGAUCCCCUCCCUGAUUAAAUCACAUUUCAACACAGAAGUGCCUUAUUGAAGCUGACACACAUGAUCUUUUCCCAGAAAAAACAAUAGAGAAUCAAUGAGGUACAAAGGUGUGUCUGGAAAACAUUUAUCAGUUUUUGACUGAAUAAAUUGAAGGUUCUUGGAGGUUGUUUUCAUUACAUAAUUCUCAAAGGCUUUUUUUUUUUUUUUUUUUUUUUUUCUGAGACAAGGUCUCAUUCUUUCUCCCAGGCCGGAGUGCGGUGGUGCUAUCAGAGCUCACUCCAACUUCCAACUCCUGGGCUCAGGAGACCUUCCUGCCUCAGCUUCCUGAGUAGCUGGGACUACAGGCGCGCACCACCAUGCCUGGCUAAUUUUUUUGUAGAGACAGGUUUUCUUUAUAUUGCACAGGCUGGUCUCGAGCUCUUGGGCUCAAGUGAUCUGUCCACCUAGGCCUCCCAGUGGGCUGGGAUUACAGACCUGGGCCACCGCAUGCAGCUCCUAAAGGACCAUUUAAGAAGACAGAUCAGUCAAGAUACGAUAAGAGUGUAGUGGUUAAGAGCCUUGUUCUUGAAAACACCUUGCCUGGGUUUGCAUCCCAGGUCUAACAGUUGCUAUGUGAGCAGCCCUGAGAAAUAGACUGAAAUACGGUUUCCUUCAGUUUUCUCAGCUGGGAAAUGGAUACGUUAAAUAAUACUGUUAAAUAAAACUUAUAGGAGGCCAUCAUUUUGGACUGAUGUCCUGCAUCAAGACCAACAGACCAAACCGAAACGCAGUUACUCAUGCUGAAGACCCAUGUCACCAAGCCAAAAUGAAGUUGUUUAUCUGAUUCCACAAGACAUCAGGAGAGAGAGAGGUGGUAGCCAAAUCCCCAGACUAGUUUUAGCUAGCAUGGUAAGAAAAUACCUUCUGAUAUAUCCUUUACAUGAAAAGUAACUUUGAAAGGACCAAUCUGCUUUUUGUUCUCUGUUUCUGCUCUCUUCAGCCCUUUUCUGGCUAUAAAACCAACUUUCUCUGCUCAGUUCAUCAGGACACUCAUUCUAUUUUAUAGAAUAAGGCGCUGCCUUAUUCUAGAAUUACAAAUAACAGCCAAUGAAGAUCUCUAAACUAAAUUUGUUGUAAUUUUGUCUUUUGACAGUUCUUACCCCAUAAAAGUGUUACGAGGGUUAAAUGAUACACAGGCAAUGCUUACAACUGUGCCUGAUACAUAGCAACCACUCUAUACAUAUCAGCUGUUUCUAUCAUCAUAGCAGUAGUAAAAAUGAAUACUCUAACGCAUAAAAAUAAACUUUUGGCUAAAAAUCAGUGACAGAAAAAAAAAACAGAGAAAUCAGGGCAGGAAAAAAAAUAAUUGAUUCAACUGCAAUUUAAGUAAAGAUCUGGAAGUUUGAGUUGACCAUUAGCUAAAUAUGAGCCAAAAGUCUGAUGUAAUUAUUUUAAAAGGUAGUGACGGCAAUAAGAAGGCACAUGCAUAGAAGCAGAGAGCCUUGUGAGUCUUCUGUCUUCUGCUCCUGUUGAUCAGCCUUGAGCUUCAGAUGGUUUCAUUUCUGGGCAAAGUACCCUAAGUAGGAAAUUAAUAAUCUCAAACUAGAAUGUGUCCAGAGGAGAGAGAGCAAGAGGAUAAAAGGUCUGACAGCCACUCCGUUUAAGGAAUACUUGAUGAACACAGGGAGGUUGAAUUUAGAGACAUGACAAGAAGAAAAAUCUUGACUCACUGUUCAAGAGCGUGUUUUACCCAGUACAGCUGUCCAGCUAUGAAACAGGCUGUUCUGGUUGCUCUUGAGCCCCCAUCUCUGAGAGUAUGAAGUUGAAGAAGUUGAAAAAGAACUCGCCCCAUAGAUUUUGCCAAGAUUGUUGAUGAAAACCUGAAUUGCAUAAACUGUUUGAAACAUCUUACCAUCCCUGAUAUUUUCUGAUUUUAUGACAGAGAGAUAAACCUGGAGGCCGAGGCAGGUGGAUCAUUUGAGGUCCGGAGUUUGAGACCAGCCUGGCCAACAUGGUGAAACCCCAUCUCUACUGAAAAUACAAAAAAUUAUCCGGCUGUAGUGGUACAUGCCUGUAAUCUCAGCUACUCUGGAGGCAAAGGCAGGAGAAUUGCUUGAACCUGGGAGGCGGAGGUUGCAGUGAGCCGAGAUUGCACCACUGCACUCCGGCCUGGGGGACAAGAGUGAGAUUCUGUCUCAAAAAAUAAAUAAAUAAAUAAGUAAAUAAACCUUCCAUAGCCACCUGCGUCCGGUAACCAGCCUCCGCUUCUCAACAGACACACCGUAUUAAACCGGUACUCUCCAUUCCUUCUGAUUUCGGUGAGAACAGAGUUUCCCCCACCAGUCAGUAUGCUGAUCACCAGGAUACCCAUGGACUUCUGCUUCUUUCCAAUGAGCUGGACACUUGCCAACAACCAGGUGUAUUUGUCCCCGUUUCUAGUUAAACUGGCUGCAUCUGUUACUGUAAUUGCUUAGUUUCAUUAAACAUUAUGUAAACUGGUGAAAUAUUAGUGUUAGAAGAAAGCAAGAUGUUGUGUCUAUGAAAACUAAGUUGAAUGCUUUGGAAAGAUUUGAUGAAAGCGAUUUGCUAAAAAGUAAUUGCUGUUAAAUUAGGUGUGAGUUAGACAAAUGUAUAAGAUUGGGAAAGAUCAUUAAAAUUUAGAUGGAUUCUCUUUUAAGAUUGCUCUGCAAGUCUUUAAGUUCCUGCUCCACUUUGUAGAAACUGAAAAUCGUGGAUGCUGCUUAAUGGAUGUGAUUUAUGCAGAAUGACGAUGCAGAACUAUGAUCAGCAGGCCCGUAUGCAGACAGAAAGCCUUGGCCCUCUAUCAAAGGACUGACAAAUUAGAGAUCAAAUUUUAUAUGUUUCAAGUUAAAAAGUUUAAUAUAUGACAUUUCUUUUUUAUGAGUCUCUAUUGUGAUUUGAUUUUUAAAUUUGCCACUGACCAUCUACCAGCCAUAAUUCCAUAGACAAAAAGGCUACUAUUGUUCAGUAAAAUGACAGCCAAGUGACCAGAAGGCGGGUUCUGCUAUAACUGUUAGAAUGACUGGCACGGAAGACUUUGACUCUAGAAAUCCAGGGUGGGCAAAGGCUGGGACAGGGCAUUUCUGUUCUGGAGAUAUACAGUGUGGUGAGUAGUGUUGAGCAAGAUGAAACAGGCAACCAGGAAGGCUGGAGGGCAUGGGUCAAAGAAGCAAGUUUAAGAUUCAUUCCAUGAGACGAGAGGUGAGUAGGGUGAAGUCACUACCAAAUACUAGAUGCCCUCAUCAAAUGAGCAGUGGAAGUUUAUGAAAUGUAGCUGAGAAAUAGCCAAAAUCAGGCCCUGAGACAAGCGAGAGAGGGAGAAGAGAGAGAUGCAAGGUGCAGACACUCAAUGGCUUUAUCCAAAUCCGUAAGAUAGUGCAAGUCUGACCCCACCGCUCCAAAUAGAGUGCUGGUGUCUCAGAAGUGUCCUAAAGCACCUGUCUGUAGGACCAGUUCUUUGUCUUGAUGUCGAAAUAGCAUUUGAUAAAGAGGCAGCAGAACUGAGUGGCGUGGGUUCCACGGUCCAGCAUUGCUAAGAUCUUAAACAGAUCUCCCGAUGAGAAGAUGAGACUCCUAAUCUCACCACUUCUCCCCACUCCCAAUGGUGAAUUGCCACGUCCUCAUCUUCCUUCAGUGGAAGUCCUAUCCCUGGUCUGCAGAGCUCAGGUAUGCUAUGGUGCCUUGGCUUCCACGGCUCUCUUCCAGUCUGUGUGCUUUUUCUUGGUCCUCUGGCAGAAAAGCUCCACAUUUGGAUGCAACCGCAAGUGUUGAGGUCACCAGCACUGUUCACUGUGUCACCUGGCAGCCACUCCCAGAGCCCCUGGAACUCUGGCCCAAGGCUCUCUGACUGACUCCUUCCCAGAUCUUCUCAGCUUAGCAGCUGAAGACUGACACUGCCCGAUCACCUUGGGUGCCUACAGGAUCAUCACAGAUGCUCUAGAUAACUCUCACAGUGGAG
rnacentral:lncRNA from 10 species